AGAAGCUGGGGUGGGGUCCAGAAAUCUAUUUUAACAAGCCCUUGUGGUAACUCCGAGGCACCCUCGAGUAUGAGAGCCACUGACCUAUAAGGUGGAAACGGAUGCGACGAGCUGUUGUGGCAGAAACCAUCCUCAAAUUGAAAGAAGAUGCAAUCAAGAGGUGUGACUUCCAGAGCAAGUAGAAAUGUUAGGCACUCCGGAUGACAGUGAACUCUCCGCCAACUGUUCACCUCUCAUGAGACUCUGCUGUUCGGCAAAUGGAGAAACGGUCUCAAGGACUUCGGUGAUUUCAAGGAUGGUGAGGGUUCUGUUGUGUCCACUUCUCAUGAAGAACAGCCUUAGCUUCUCUUAGACUUCAGAUCUUGGGUCUGGAGGUGCUGACAGCAAGGCCAUCAUAAAGGAGUGGUGCUGCCAUUAGUACUUCUUUGCCUGCUGCAAGUCUCUGCGAACUACCGAGACCGUCUGGAUCAGAGCUUGGAUAUCUAAGAGCAUAGGCUUGAAGUUUCCUGGUGGAU